AUCAGGAACGCUCCCAACUUCUUAACUUUCUAAUGUUAUCUUUUUCCCUGUAGCAAUUUAGAGGGUCCUGGAUUUUCACAUAGGUGAAUUUGCUUUACAAGACACCAGUAGGAAGAUAGUCAGGGAAGAUCCCAUAAGAAGGACCCGGGUCAUGCUAUAAGACGUGAUAAUUUUGAUUUAACAACAAUUCUCCAAGCCUGUGUCUUAGUGUGGUUCACCAUUCAUCAAGGACAUUAAAGUGGUGAAGCCCUUGAGUGCUUUGAUACAGAGUUGCAUCAACUUAAAUGGAAUUAAUUCUCUACCAUCACUUGCAUUAAGUAGGAGGAAUUCAACCAACCUUUGAACUUGAAGAGUGUAAUCAACAAGUUGGAAACACAGCGAUAGUUUCUCCAAGAUCUUCA
rnacentral:lncRNA from 1 species